rnacentral:rRNA from 1 species
UGGGGGAUAUUGCACAAUGGGCGAAAGCCUGAUGCAGCGACGCCGCGUGGGGGAUGAAGCCUUUCGGGUUGUAAACCUCUUUCGCUAUCGAACAAGGCCCGCUUAGGGUGGGUUGAGGGUAGGUGGAGAAGAAGCGCCGGCUAACUACGUGCCAGCAGCCGCGGUAAUACGUAGGGCGCGAGCGUUGUCCGGAAUUAUUGGGCGUAAAGGGCUUGUAGGCGGCUUGUUGCGCCUGCUGUGAAAACGCGGGGCUUAACUUCGCGCGUGCAGUGGGUACGGGCAGGCUUGAGUGUGGUAGGGGUGACUGGAAUUCCGUGUGUAGCGGUGGAAUGCGCAGAUAUCUGGAGGAACACCGAUGGCGAAGGCAGGUCACUGGGCCAUUACUGACGCUGAGGAGCGAAAGCAUGGGUAGCGAACAGG